UACGGGGGGAGCAAGCGUUGUUCGGAUUUACUGGGCGUAAAGGGCGCGUAGGCGGCCAGCGCAAGUCAGUUGUGAAAUCUCCGGGCUUAACUCGGAACGGUCAACUGAUACUGCGCGGCUAGAGUGCAGAAGGGGCAACUGGAAUUCUCGGUGUAGCGGUGAAAUGCGUAGAUAUCGAGAGGAACACCUGCGGCGAAGGCGGGUUGCUGGGCUGACACUGACGCUGAUGCGCGAAAGCGUGGGGAUCAAACAGG
rnacentral:rRNA from 1 species